CGAAUAUAUCACCGUUUAUAGAGGCAUUGCCACAUAUAGGCGAUAUGCACCUCUGCUCGUCCUACCCCUCCUUCCGAGCCUCUCUCUCGAGCUCCUCUGCCUCUUUCUCCUCCACCGCUUCUUCCGUGCUCAUCUCAUGGGCGAGGUAUCCUCUUCCUCCACACCGCUGUGUUCUUCGGUGCCGUCGUCUGCUCUCCGUCGCCGGUGUUUCUCGACGGGCAGAUGCCGGAGAAGGCAGACCAGUGGAGGACGACAAGGAAGUGUUCGAAGACGAUUCCUCCGAUCAUGCCUUCGUCCGGAAGCCCCAGUCGCUGCUUGUGGAGCGAUACCAAGAUGGCACUGCUAAGAGAUAUAUCUGGGAUGAUAACUCCCAACUACUAACCUUUCGGGACGAAUUUGGAGCUUUGACUAAUGGAGUGCAAGAUGAAGAAAGCCUCUCACAAUUUUCUUUGAUACCAAGCAUUUUAAAGGAAUUUGUACUUCCAGCAGGGUUUCCAGGAUCAGUUUCGGAUGACUAUCUGGAUUACAUGCUAUUGCAGUUUCCAACUAAUGUAACAGGAUGGAUCUGUCACACAUUGGUUACUUCAAGUCUGUUGAAGGCUGUUGGUUUGGGCUCUUUUUCAGGAAGUAGUUCUGCUGCUUCUGCUGCUGCUAUAAGAUGGGUGUCAAAAGAUGGUCUAGGAGCUAUUGGUCGCUUAUUUAUUGGUGGACGUUUGGGGAAUAUUUUUGAUGAUGAUCCAAAGCGAUGGAGGAUGUAUGCAGAUUUCAUUGGAAGUGCUGGAAGCAUCUUCGAGCUUGGCACACAACUAUAUCCAGAAUAUUUCCUCCCCCUUGCAGCUUUUGGCAAUUUUGCUAAGGCUAUAGCAAGAGGACUGAAAGAUCCAUCAUUUCGUGUGAUUCAAAAUCAUUUUGCUGUCUCUGCUAAUCUUGGGGAGGUUGCAGCUAAGGAGGAAGUUUGGGAAGUAGCAGCUCAGCUUCUAGGACUUGGAAUUGGCAUACUGAUCCUGGAUCUACCUGGGAUACAGGCAUCAUAUUCCUUGCUGGUUUUCACGUGGCUGAGCAUGCGUCUUCUGCACCUUUGGCUACGUUUCCAGUCACUAUCAGUUCUCAAGUUUCAGACUAUAAACAUGAAACGUGCUCGGUUGCUUGUGAGAUCACAUGUUUUACAUAAUACAGUUCCAGGGUAUGUCACUUGCAACAAGGAAGAGAAUUUUCUAUCUUGGGAAAGAUUCUUGCAGCCUAAAAUUAUUUUUGGUGUGUCUAUGCAAAAUAUGAUGGGAAAAAAUGGCUCCAACGAUAUGGUGAAGACACUUCUUAAGUUAUACUCAAAGGAAAGUUACAUUCUCUAUAUGAAGCAGCAACAAGGAGGCUCUACAAUUUUAGUUACUUUCAAGGUUGGAGCUACUGGCCUGACAGUCUUGAGAAGCUUAUGGCAGGCACAUUGGCUCCACGAGUGUCAAGAAAGAACAUCAAAUCAUGUCUUAUCUUUGCUUGAAGAAAGCCUCCUGAAACUGGAAAACGGAUUCGAUGACUUCCUCAGGCAAUUAAAAGGAGCUGGAUGGGAUGAACAACAGAUCAAACUCAAGGUUCCCAAGAAACUUCUUUUCGACGAGUCAGAAAACCUCGAGCUUGCCCUUGAUAAGUAGAUCGUCUUGUUGCUGUUCCUAGUGCUUUACAGGUAAAAUUUAACCCAAUCUAUGCCCACUCAAUAUUAACUUCAAGAGUCAUAUAAAUAGUGAAUGGAUGAACCCUUGUUGGUUUGUGUAAGUUCAUUUAGAAUUGUUUACUCAGGGCAUAAUCGCAGGCUGUAUAUAUAACUUUUUUAUCAGGGUAUUGUCUGAGCCAUCUAGGUAGACAAUGGAGGUAUUUGUUGAAGUUUUGGAAAUUUUGCUACAGUGGAGCUGUUGGAUUGUCAUAUUAUGUGAAUGUUAGAAUGGUUAUACUCCUUUUUAUUUUACUCACCAACACGACAAAACAUAAACAUUGUGAAGCCUUGAAUAUUGUCGGUGAUUGCUAACAUGUCAUUAGGUACACUACAGGCUGAGGGUUUUUUUUUUCCCUGUAGCUUGCUCGAGAAGAAGCCUCCCAACAACAAAAGCCAAAUGAGGUUAGUUCAGACGCUCAUUAGUUUUUCCCCGUAUUAAUAUGAAAGUUUAAGUAUAUAUUUUUGCUAAUUUUGUCUUUAGAUAUUUGGCUCACUGCCUGUGGAUCAAGCUGGCAAGUUUUCUUUAAACAGUUGAUAAAGAAUAAAUUUGGCUAAUUUAAUAUUAAUUUUGAGAUGAUGCGGAGGCUUAGGUUGGUAAAAGAUGGACCUCUUUGAGUCUACUAUUUGCAACGGUGCUUACAAUUGCAAGAAGUUUUCAUUGUGACCGGAGACUUUCUGCCUCAACCGAGCCUCCAACUGGAAGAGUUGACCGGAGGAGGGCUAGAUGAUAUACGUGCUUGAAGACCCCAGCCAGGGAACCCACAACAGCUAGAAGAUUAAACAGAGCAAAACAAUGUUCCAUCGAGAUGUGGUAGCGGGUCUCAAGUUUGAAUCCACAUGUGAGCAUUAUAUCAUUCGUUGUAAUAUCAUUUUUUUAUUUUAAAAAAUAAGUAUAAGAAUUUUAUAGUUGGUGUACGAGAGAAGAUUAACCAAUUGCGUCUCGUAAAUGUUAGGCUCUGAUGUA